UGUAAUCAGCUCCCGUUUGGUUGCAUGCUGUCUGAUCACCAAUACAGCAGAUAAAUUUGCAGCAUCUGAAGGCUUGUGAAACUCCUCUGCAAAGAACUUCUGAUGGACCCUGAAGGAGUGGGAGAUUUCACCCAACACUGAUGACACUGAAAUCACCAACUCCCAGCCCAUACUAUAGCCUAUAACAACCUCCCCUCCUUGGACAAACUUGAGCACUAUUACUGCAAGUGGUAUUAGUGGCUCUAAAUUGACUUUGGCAAACCGCUUGUGCUGGUUAUUCUUCCACAGACAGUUUGCCAAGCUGGAGUUACUGGCAGUUUUAGAUAAUCCUUGGGCCUUUUGCUUGGGAGUACAUCAAUCAUACAAUACCAGGCUUGGAUUGAAGAAAACACCAGGAUCAUUUUUACCCCAUUGUCUCACAAUCAUGCUGCAAUGAACAUAUCUUUAAAAGUGAGAGCUCUCCAAAUUAUGCACUAUCCUCGCCGAAAAGGAAAUGGACAAUAAGCCUGUCAGCUUUCCAAACUGAAGUAGGAAGUCAUUGCUGAAAUAUUCUUUCCCUGCCUUUUACUGGU